rnacentral:rRNA from 1 species
UACGAAGGGGGCUAGCGUUGCUCGGAAUUACUGGGCGUAAAGCGCACGUAGGCGGAUUUUUAAGUCAGGGGUGAAAUCCCGGAGCUCAACUCCGGAACUGCCUUUGAUACUGGAAAUCUUGAGUUCGGGAGAGGCGAGUGGAACUGCGAGUGUAGAGGUGAAAUUCGUAGAUAUUCGCAAGAACACCAGUGGCGAAGGCGGCUCACUGGCCCGAUACUGACGCUGAGGUGCGAAAGCGUGGGGAGCAAACAGG